GAGGACACACAGAAGAUCAAGGGGCUGAUUACAGAAAAAUUCCCACAUUUAAGCGGGAAGUAGAAGAAGUGGGGCCAAAGAGAUGGAGGAGAAGUGGUCAGAGAGUGAGUAUGUGGGUUACUGAUUCCAGGGGAAGAAAGAAUUUCAAAGCGAGAGGGGUGGGAGGAUUGCUGGUCAAUAUCAUCACCAUGGUAACAGGGAUGUGACGCAGAAAGAGCGAGCUGAGAAGACAUCAAUGGACCACCUCGUGCAAAUCAUCAGAACAGGUGGACAAUCCAUCAGACUACAGAUACAUAGUCCACGAAGAGAACAAGAAAAAAUCGGGAUAAAUCCUACAUCAGAAUUUCUGCAGAGAUGAAUUCGAGUUCUACAUGCAAACCUGCAGUGGUGUGCAGGACAAUUUGCAGAGCACCAUGAAGCUCGCCAGGACUGUUCUGUGAGGUCGACCCCUGUAGAAUAAUUUGGUGUUGGGGAGACCAUUAUUCCCCUUUCAUACCUUCUCAAAAAGGGAAAUUCCAUUCCUCUCACAGAAGAGACAACAUAAUACUUCUGGAUGUCUCCUGUCACUUCACCCAUGGGAAGAGUAGCUCAUUUGAUUGGUGGAGAGCCUAAAAGCCAUUGAGGCAUGAUUUUUUCUAAGGUCUAUGGUUAUUGAAUUGAAAAGUUAGUGAUGGCCAGUCCUUUCUCUUACUCUCUUGGGCUGGCUGUUCUCAUUGGCAGUGGGCUCACCUAUGCUUCAAGAUCCAGGCAGUAAGCAAACUUUCCCCACGUAGGCCCUGUUCCCCAUGCCAGCAGUCUUGUCUGCAAAUGGAUGAGUCAGGUCAGCCCAUCACCAGAGGCCAAGUAACUUUAAUUUAAUAAAUGUUAAUUCCCUAAAAGGAAGUGCUAUUUUGGCCUCAGGUCCAAGUCACAUUGUCCAGUCCAUCUUUAUUGUGAGUAAAAUUGAUAAUUUGAAGGUAAAACCUAAAGGGAAGGGGGGAUGUGAGUGCUACUCUAAGCCUUGAACAUUUGGGAGCUUUGAGACAGGCAUUUCAGUCCUCUGCUGUCAGGAAACACUGACAUAACACAACCAUCAGUAGGAUCUGGCUCCCUGUUCUUAAGAGUCAUGCGUUUGUUUUGCUUUUUUCUUUGCUUUCUGCUUAAAAGGCACGUAAUAAAUAUCUGUUGAUUGAUUAGAGUAAGUCACUAAACAGCAGCUGGUACUUAAAUUAAUCCUACUUGAGCCCAAACAGCUGGCUUAAAGCACUGAGCAAAUCUCAGAAAGCAAUGUUCACCUUCACCUCAGAGAAUAACGUCAUAUUUGAAGACGAAGGGAGAAGAGGAAGAAGAAAAGAUGUCGAUGGGACCUCUUGCUGGCACCAGAAAGUGCUCAGACUGAAAGCCCCUCCAGCUUUCCACCACCUCCGCCAGUGCUAACAGCUGGCAAGUCCAAAGAGGCAAAGAGUCAUCAGGGGUCAAAAUAAAGAAGAUUCCAUGUACUCUGGAAUUUAUAUUGGAGUUCCCUUGAGGAAAGCAGAAGUCACCUUUCUGAUCGAUUGCUUCAUUCAUUCAUUUACUGACAAGGAGUUCUAAAGCACUACCCAGAACUCUUCGGUAGGACUAUUUUCCCUGCACAUGCAAAUGCUUCCAAGAUGAAGGCAACCUGUAGAAAGCCCGAUGUGGUCAGAGGUCGAACCAUGUUCUCCAAGCCAACUUUACCAAUAAUAAGGCUGAUCUUUUGGGGGGACUCCAUCUGUCUAACUCGGGUCUAUUCUUAAUUUGUUCAGAAAUUAAAAGAAGGAGAAGAGGAUGACUAAUUAUUGCCCCCUAAAAUUUCACAACAUGCUUAUGGCAUAAAAAACCAUUAAUUUCAUGAAACUUUAAAAAAAUAUUCUUAGUGUAGACAGUUUCCAUCAACCAACUUUUUGGUAAGUAUGAGGGGCGGUAGUUAGAUGUUACCCUCCCCUCCAAGUUCUAUGAGGCAACUAGCUGAAGAACCACAUUGGCCCUAGGAUGGAGGAGACCGAAAGAAGUUGCUCAAACAGAAGGCCACUCUGUUUCUGCAUCAGGGUGGCCAGUAGAGACAGGUAGGGCUUGGCUAAGAUUCUCAAGAAGAAACUUGGGGUUUCCAUUCAGGAAUCAUAUGUAUAGAAAGACAACCAAGGUCCCCACUUGCACACCAUACAGUAUGAUUUCAAGGAUUUAAUCCCAGAAAAAUUUUGAAGCAAAUAUAACUAAAUGCCUACUUUGACCAUAACAAAAUGAAAAACUUUAUCAAAGCACUUGACAUUGAGCAAUAACUGCCUGUGUAUUCCUUAUGUGACAUUUGAGGACUUCAAGCAAAGCCCCAUGUGCAUUCCUUAUGUUUUCAAAACAUACUCUUAGUAACCAGAUAAACUAACUUGUUAAAUAUGUUGAUUGACUCCUAGCUAGUUAAAUGUCAGAAUCGUCCACCAAAAACACCCACCUUGGCCCUUGAGUGUUGGAUUUGUAGCUCUCUGUUUUUGCAACAAUUGGAUAUAGCGCGACCGAUUUUCUAUUGUGAGCCCUCCAGAUUUCUAACAACACAAUAAGGUCAUCUGCACUUGGAAGUAAAUUUAUCUUUCUAUUAUUUAUAAACACAGUUGUGAUUGGACAGUAAGUGGGGUGGUUAGGGUAGAUGCGUGCAUGCAUCUUGUUCAAGAGAGCUAUCAAGUUAUUAAAAGAUAUAUAGAGAAAAAAACAGAGGGGGGUGCAAUACCUGUUCUUGUAGCUUUUAGUGAGUAUUAAGGAGUACUACAGGACAGAAUUAGUCACUGGUGACUGUGUCAUGGAUCCUAACGGGAAACAAUCAAAUUACUGGGGCUCUUGAUUGGCACCAUUGGGAGCACAACAUUUGGAAACUUCUCAGUAAGACAUCUGUUUAUCUACGUUUUGCUCCCACUAAAUUGAGAGCAUCUUUAAGUCAGAAAUGCUGUUCAUUCAUCUAUGAGUUUGUGCCUGGUACACAGUAGGCGUUUGACAUAUAACUGUUAAGUGAAUGAAAUUUGUUAAUAAUUUAUAAUUCAGGCGUAAAACAGAUUUCAGGUAAAGCUUUUGCUAGGUGAAUAACGAGUACAAGUUACAAGCACAUCUCCAGGAAGGCUCACGAGUGUCAGUUAUUAAUUUUCGCUAUCAUUAUUAAACAGAAGCCCUAGAGAAUGGACAGAAAUGGCACCUAAUGUUGUUAAUUAAAAGUAGAAGAAGAUGUAAUUGAAACUAUGAAGCACUCCAUCUUUUCCUUAUGUGAAGCACCCAAGAUUUAAAUGCAAACAAUGGAAGAUUCCCUCAAGGCAAUUCUAUGAAGCUUCACACCAUUUUCUAAAGGAGCAAUGUUCUCUUCUAAGAUCAGUUUUGUUGCCGUUUCUACUAGUUUUUCAUAUUUUAAAAAAUAACUGAUAUUUAAAAAAAAAAAAACUUUGUCAUCAACUUCUAAAUAAACAGCUAUUUCCACAUAUUAGUGAUCUUGUAGAAAGAACACCCAGAACUUAAUGAAACCCCAGAAGACUAGAAAAUCCUGACUCACAAGAACACAGUGCUUAUUUGGUUUCAGGCCAUUGGCUACUUCCUUGUCGGGACUUUCCAAGUCAGAUAGUGUUACACUUGGAACAUGCCAGCAAGCAUUAAUAAUCAUGACCAUAAAUGAA